AGGGGAGCCGCAGGGAAACCGAGUCUUAACUGGGCGUUAAGUUGCAGGGUAUAGACCCGAAACCCGGUGAUCUAGCCAUGGGCAGGUUGAAGGUUGGGUAACACUAACUGGAGGACCGAACCGACUAAUGUUGAAAAAUUAGCGGAUGACUUGUGGCUGGGGGUGAAAGGCCAAUCAAACCGGGAGAUAGCUGGUUCUCCCCGAAAGCUAUUUAGGUAGCGCCUCGUGAACUCAUCUUCGGGGGUAGAGCACUGUUUCGGCUAGGGGGUCAUCCCGACUUACCAACCCGAUGCAAACUACGAAUACCGAAGAAUGUUAUCACGGGAGACACACGGCGGGUGCUAACGUCCGUCGUGAAGAGGGAAACAACCCAGACCGCCAGCUAAGGUCCCAAAGUCAUGGUUAAGUGGGAAACGAUGUGGGAAGGCACAGACAGCCAGGAUGUUGGCUUAGAAGCAGCCAUCAUUUAAAGAAAGCGUAAUAGCUCACUGGUCGAGUCGGCCUGCGCGGAAGAUGUAACGGGGCUAAACCAUGCACCGAAGCUGCGGCAGCGACACU
rnacentral:rRNA from 1 species